CUUGGUCAUUUAGAGGAAGUAAAAGUCGUAACAAGGUCUCUCAAGAGCGGAUCCUUCCGCGGCGAUCCUUGGAAGCCUUUGCACCCCGAGAGGGGUUGACGCGACUCUAAAGAAAGAAGAGCAAGUAGCGUACUGCUGCAACACGACCGAAAUGCGGGGACUUCCUAAAACUCUUGCUACCAAGCUGCGGCCGAAAGGCUGCAGUGGCCAGGCUUAACACCCUGGGUUUAGGUUAUAAUGCAGGUGAUGUACAAUGGAUGAUCCGCAGCGAAGCUCCUACCGGCUGGCGCCCACGGAGAACGUUCACAGACUAAGUGGUUGGGGGGGGCCCUGUCCCUCUAAGAUAUAGUCGGGCCGCUGGGGAGACCUGGCGGGCUAUCGCUGAUAGAUACCGUUCCGUAGGUGAACCUGCGGAAGGAUCAUUACAGAGUAUCGUGCCCCUCGUGGGUAGAUCUCCACCCUGUGUAUUUGCUACCUUUGUUGCUUUGGCGGACCGCUGGUCUCCAGCUGCCAGCUCCGGCUGGCAUGUGUCCGCCAGAGGACCCCAACUCUGUCUUACAGUGUCGUCUGAGUACUAUAUAAUAGUUAAACUUUCAACAACGGAUCUCUUGGUUCUGGCAUCGAUGGAGAACGCAGCGAGAUGCGAUAAGUAAUGUGAAUUGCAGAAUUCAGUGAAUCAUCGAAUCUUUGAACGCACAUUGCGCCCCUUGGUAUUCCGAGGGGCAUGCCUGUUCGAGCGUCAUUACRACCCUCAAGCUCUGCUUGGUCUUGGGCUGUGCCGGCAACGGCAGGCCUUAAAAUCAGUGGUCGGUGCCGCUGGGCCCUAAGCGUAGUAAUCUUUCUCGCUACAGGGUCCCAGAGGGACGUCCGCCAGCAACCCCCWCUUCUAUGGUUGRCCUCGGAUCAGGUAGGGAUACCCGCUGAACUUAAGCAUAUCAAUAAGCGGAGGA
rnacentral:rRNA from 1 species